rnacentral:rRNA from 1 species
GACGAACGCUGCGGCGUGCUUAACACAUGCAAGUCGAACGGAGCUAUUUAUUUCGGUAGAUAGCUUAGUGGCAAACGGGUGAGUAACGCGUAGGCAACCUGCCCUCGGGAUGGGGACAACGGCUCGAAAGAGCCGCUAAUACCGAAUGACGUAUCCUUUCCACAUGGAAGAGAUACUAAAGAUGGGUCAAACCAUCGCCCGAGGAGGGGCCUGCGUCUGAUUAGCCAGUUGGUGAGGUAACGGCUCACCAAAGCAACGAUCAGUAGCCGGUCUGAGAGGAUGAACGGCCACAAUGGGACUGAGACACGGCCCAUACUCCUACGGGAGGCAGCAGUGGGGAAUCUUCCGCAAUGGGCGCAAGCCUGACGGAGCAACGCCGCGUGAGUGAAGAAGGUCUUCGGAUCGUAAAGCUCUGUUGUCGGGGACGAAAGGAAAGGGGAGGCAAUGCCCCUUUAAGACGGUACCCGACGAGGAAGCCACGGCUAA